rnacentral:misc_RNA from 1 species
AACAAGUUUCCGUAGGUGACUGGCGGAAGGAUCAUUAGUGAAACAUUAGAGUGCUCUUAAUUGAGGCUCGUUUAACUAUCCAUUACACUUAGUGCACUUGAUUCAAACCUUUCAAAAUUCUCGCUUUCGGGCUUGAACUUUGGCUGGAUACAUAUAACCCCUUUGAAAUUAUUAUAAGAGAUGAUGAUGUAUAACCUUGAAAUAAUGAAAGAACAACUUUCAGCAACGGAUUUCUUGGCUCUCGCAUCGAUGAAGAACGCAGCGAAAUGCGAUACGUAAUGUGAAUUGCAGAACUCAGUGAAUCAUCGAAUUUUUGAACGCACCUUGCGCUCUCUAGUUAUUCUGGAGAGCAUGCUUGUUUGAGUGUCGCGAACCUCUCAACCCCGCCAAAGGCUUUAUUGACUUUGGUUGUUUGGGCUUGGAUCAUGGACUUUGUCGUUUUCCGCAAGGAAAUCUGACUGGUCUGAAAUACAACAAGUUGAAUAGACCUUAUUGCGGCUUGACCUGAUGUUGUAAUCUACUCAUCGGAUACGCUUUAUUGACUAAGGAACUUUAACAGAAAACCCUUAUUGCUUUGUGAAAACGCGGUCAAACGCAGAGUAACUUAGUACAUUUAUGACCUCAAAUCAAGUAGGACUACCCGCUGAACUUAAGCAUAUCAAU